rnacentral:rRNA from 1 species
UACGUAGGUGGCAAGCGUUGUUCGGAAUUACUGGGCGUAAAGCGCGCGUAGGCGGACCUGCAAGUCGGGGGUGAAAGCCCGAGGCUCAACCUCGGAACUGCCUUCGAUACUGCGGGUCUCGAGUCCGGGAGAGGUGAGUGGAAUUCCUAGUGUAGAGGUGAAAUUCGUAGAUAUUAGGAAGAACACCAGUGGCGAAGGCGGCUCACUGGCCCGGUACUGACGCUGAGGCGCGAAAGCGUGGGGAGCAAACAGG